rnacentral:rRNA from 1 species
UAGGGAAUCUUCCGCAAUGGGCGAAAGCUUGACGGAGCAACGCCGCGUGAGUGAUGAAGGUCUCCGGAUCGUAAAACUCUGUUAUUAGGGAAGAACAAAUGUGCAAGUAACUAUGCACGUCUUGACGGUACCUAAUCAGAAAGCCACGGCUAACUACGUGCCAGCAGCCGCGGUAAUACGUAGGCGGCAAGCGUUAUCCGGAAUUAUUGGGCGUAAAGCGCGCGUAGGCGGUUCUUUAAGUCGGAUGUGAAAGCCCACGGCUCAACCGUGGAGUGUCAUUGGUAUCUGGACAACUUGCGUGCAGAAGAGGAAAGUGGAAUUCCAUGUGUAGCGGUGAGAUGCGCAUAGAUAUGGAGGAUCACCAGUAGCGAAGGCGACUUUCUGGUCUGUAACUGACGCUAAUGUGCGAAAGCGUGGAGAUCAAACAGG